rnacentral:misc_RNA from 1 species
GAAGAAUUCAGAACAGAAUCAGCUCCAACAAGAAUCACAGACACCCCUCAAAGCAAAAUACUCUCUGACGUAUUCAAGGAAUUUGUUUUCUCUCUUCCUCUCUCGACUUUGAUAAGAAAAACUCACAAAAGGGGGUUUAGCGGAGGGAUUUAUGUCUUCUGAGCUUCUUCUGUCCUCUGGAGCUUUGAAGCAGCUCUGGUUUUCUUCUUCGUCUCUGUUUUUCG